rnacentral:misc_RNA from 1 species
AAGAUUGACCGAAAGGUCUUAUCUCUAUAUCCCUCACCUCUGUGAACUGUGGACCUUCGGGUCUAUUUAACAAACAUCAGUGUAAUGAACGUAUAUAUCAUUAAACAAAACA